UGGAUCCAGACUUUGAUUCUGGCUCAGGAUGAACGCUAGCUACAGGCUUAACACAUGCAAGUCGAGGGGAAACGAUAUUGGAAGCUUGCUUCCGAUAGGCGUCGACCGGCGCACGGGUGAGUAACGCGUAUCCAACCUGCCCACCACUUGGGGAUAACCUUGCGAAAGUAAGACUAAUACCCAAUGAUAUCUCUAGAAGACAUCUGAAAGAGAUUAAAGAUUUAUCGGUGAUGGAUGGGGAUGCGUCUGAUUAGCUUGUUGGCGGGGUAACGGCCCACCAAGGCGACGAUCAGUAGGGGUUCUGAGAGGAAGGUCCCCCACAUUGGAACUGAGACACGGUCCAAACUCCUACGGGAGGCAGCAGUGAGGAAUAUUGGUCAAUGGGCGAGAGCCUGAACCAGCCAAGUAGCGUGCAGGAUGACGGCCCUAUGGGUUGUAAACUGCUUUUAUAAGGGAAUAAAGUGAGCCUCGUGAGGCUUUUUGCAUGUACCUUAUGAAUAAGGACCGGCUAAUUCCGUGCCAGCAGCCGCGGUAAUACGGAAGGUCCGGGCGUUAUCCGGAUUUAUUGGGUUUAAAGGGAGCGUAGGCCGGAGAUUAAGCGUGUUGUGAAAUGUAGACGCUCAACGUCUGCACUGCAGCGCGAACUGGUUCCCUUGAGUACGCACAAAGUGGGCGGAAUUCGUGGUGUAGCGGUGAAAUGCUUAGAUAUCACGAAGAACUCCGAUUGCGAAGGCAGCUCACUGGAGCGCAACUGACGCUGAAGCUCGAAAGUGCGGGUAUCGAACAGGAUUAGGUACCCUGGUAGUCCGCACGGUAAACGAUGGAUGCCCGCUGUUGGUCUGAAUAGGUCAGCGGCCAAGCGAAAGCAUUAAGCAUCCCACCUGGGGAGUACGCCGGCAACGGUGCAACUCAAAGGAAUUGACGGA
rnacentral:rRNA from 1 species